rnacentral:rRNA from 1 species
GAUGAACGCUGGCGGCGCGCUUAACACAUGCAAGUCGAACGGUGAAGCAGGAGCUUGCUCUUGUGGAUCAGUGGCGAACGGGUGAGUAACACGUGAGCAACCUGCCCCUGACUCUGGGAUAAGCGCUGGAAACGGCGUCUAAUACUGGAUAUGUGAUGUGACCGCAUGGUCUGCAUCUGGAAAGAAUUUCGGUUGGGGAUGGGCUCGCUGCCUAUCAGCUUGUUGGGGAGGUAACGGCUCACCAAGGCGUCGACGGGUAGCCGGCCUGAGAGGGUGAGCGGCCAGACUGGGACUGAGAGACGGCCCAGACUCCUACGGGAGGCAGCAGUGGGGAAGAUUGCACAAUGGGCGGAAGGCUGAUCCAGCAGCGCCGCGUGAGGGAUGACGGCCUUCGGGUUGUAAACCUCUUUUAGCAGGGAAGAAGCGAAAGUGACGGUACCUGCAGAAAAAGCACCGGCUAACUACGUGCCAGCCGCCGCCGUAA